CAGCAGCCGCGGGAAUACAGAGGGUGCGAGCGUUAAUCGGAUUUACUGGGCGUAAAGCGUGCGUAGGCGGCUUCUUAAGUCGGAUGUGAAAUCCCUGAGCUUAACUUAGGAAUUGCAUUCGAUACUGGGAAGCUAGAGUAUGGGAGAGGAUGGUAGAAUUCCAGGUGUAGCGGUGAAAUGCGUAGAGAUCUGGAGGAAUACCGAUGGCGAAGGCAGCCAUCUGGCCUAAUACUGACGCUGAGGUACGAAAGCAUGGGGAGCAAACAGGAUUAGAGACCCCCGUAGUCCUUGUCUCUUAUAA
rnacentral:rRNA from 1 species